GCGCCAAGAAUCACAGCGAAGAAGAAUAGGAAAACAGGCACUUACCUGCUGUUCCUUCCCCCCCCCCUUCGGCCUAGGGCUCGACGGCGUCCCACUGGGAUUUCGGCCAGUACUAUUGGCCAGGUGGCCGCUUCUCUGCUUGCGGACUUGCGUUCCGCGCAGGCUAACUUCCGACGUUUUCCACUGAAUUAUACGGAACGAUUU